AGACCAGGCUGGUCUCGAACUCGCAGAGAUCCACCUGCCUCUGCCUCCCGAGUGCUGGGAUUAAAGGUGUGUGCCAACGCCCGGCUGAGACCAAGUUUUAUAUGUGAUUAUUGGCAAGAAAAAAAGCUCGAAAUUUGGUUAAGUUACCAGCAAUAAACCUUGGAAAAUCUCUAUUAGGACUUUUUACUUAAUCUGGGUAGGGGGGCAAUUUUAGCCAGUACACUGGCAAAUACCUGUCAUUCCAGCACUCUGGAGACCGAGGCUGGAUGCUUUGAGGCCAGGCUAGGCUGCACAGACUCAAAAACAACAAAAAGGUUAAUCUUAGGGUAUUCUCAGCAGGAGAGACAAACUCAAAGAAAACUACAGUUGCCAACGUAAUGUUUCUGCAUUGUAACUUCAAAAACAGCAAACAGCUUGGAUGGAAAAAGUCCACGUGCUGAGUACUACCCCAGAAACCCACCUUUGAAAAGUCAGUGAAGACCUACUUGAAUGCGACAUCCUCUCUUUGGGAGCUGUGAGAAAAUAGAGAACUCAUUUGGAAGGCAGUUGUAAGAAAAUCCUCAAAUUUGGCUUGAAGCUGAAGAAAAAAGCUGGUGUGAUGAUGCAUGCUGGGAUGUGGGAAGCCGACACAGGAAGGUCAGCCUGGACUACACAGCUGGACUACACAACACUCUGUCUCAAUACAAAGAAAAGAAAUUCAAACCCAAGAGUCAAGGGAUUCUCUGAUGGGGGAUGUGUUUCUGUAUGCUAGACAGGGAUAAUGGUUCCUGUGAGGAGUCUCUGCAAACACCACAGCCAGCAGAGUAUGCAGCAGAGUGUUCCAUUGAGUAAGGCAAGAAGGAACUCGAAUUCAACACAACUCAGCCACUGGUGUUGGUUCAAACUUCGAGAGUCUGACACUGGUUAGUUUAUUUCACACAUAUUUAAGCACAGCACAAUUUAGAAAAAAAAAUGUUUCCUGGUGAUAAUUAACUCAAUCCCAUGUGUACAACAAAGUUUGACAUGAUUACAUCAAAACUCUUGAAAUUACAAGUGACAUCUUCCAUAAAGCUGUGUUCUAUAAAUUAAG
rnacentral:lncRNA from 1 species